rnacentral:rRNA from 1 species
UACGAAGGGGGCUAGCGUUGUUCGGAAUUACUGGGCGUAAAGGGCGCGUAGGCGGUGUGUCAAGUCAGGCGUGAAAGCCCCGGGCUCAACCUGGGAACCGCGCUUGAGACUGGCACGCUAGAGUUCGGGAGAGGAUGGUGGAAUUCCCAGUGUAGCGGUGAAAUGCGCAGAUAUCGGGAAGAACACCCGUGGCGAAGGCGGUUCUCUGGGACGGUACUGACGCUGAGACGCGAAAGCGUGGGGAGCGAACAGG